rnacentral:tRNA from 1 species
GGGAGUGUGCAUCAGUUGGCAGAUUGUUUGCCUAGCAUGCACAAAGCCCUGGGUUUGAUUCCCAGCACUGCGU